rnacentral:rRNA from 1 species
CGAGAUACUGAUCGGUCUCGUGGGCUCGGAGAUGUGUAUAAGAGACAGCUGAAGGAGCUAGGGGCCAAACCAGGUUACCAAACUCUAUCAAACUCCGAAUACCAUGUAUGUAAGAACAGGAGUCAGACUGUGGGAGAUAAGUUCCAUGGUCAAAAGGGAAACAGCCCAGAUCGUCAAUUAAGGUCCCAAAGAUAUAGUUAAGUGGGAAACGAUGUGAUUUUGCGUAAACAACCAGGAUGUUGGCUUAGAAGCAGCCAUUCGUUUAAAGAGUGCGUAAUAGCUCACUGGUCGAGUGAAGUUGCGCGGAAAAUUACCGGGGCUAAACUAUACACCGAAAUUGCGGGUUUAUAUAGAAAUAUAUAAGCGGUAGAGGAGCAUUCUAUUGUAGGUUGAAGGUAGAUCGAAAGGACUGCUGGACGAAGUAGAAGAGAGAAUGCCGGAAUAAGUAGCGAAAGCAUGGUGAGAAUCCAUGCCAUCGAAAGUCUAAGGUUUCCUGGGGAAGGUUCGUCCGCCCAGGGUAAGCCGGGAGCUAAGGCGAGGCCGGAAGGCGUAGUCGAUGCACAUACGGUUGAAAUUCCGUAGCCACCGAACCUUAAGUACACUGACACAUGGAGAUAGCGGGACCCGGGCGUUGGUUGACCCGGGCGUAAGGGACCGAACUUUAGUAGGGAAGUCCGCGAUGCUCUGUGGCGAGAAAAGGUGUAUGGUAUGCUAAGGUGCCCGUACCGCAAACCGACACAGGUAGAUGAGGAGAGAAUCCUAAGGCCAACGGGAGAAGGGUUGUUAAGGAACUCGGCAAAAUGACCCCGUAACUUCGGGAUAAGGGGAGCUCUGAAAAGAGCCGCAGAGAAUAGGCCCAAGCGACUGUUUACCAAAAACACAGGUCUAUGCUAAAUCGAAAGAUGACGUAUAUGGGCUGACGCCUGCCCGGUGCCGGAAGGUUAAGAGGAGAUGUCAGCGCAAGCGAAGCAUUGAAUUGAAGCCCCGGUAAACGGCGGCCGUAACUAUAACGGUCCUAAGGUAGCGAAAUUCCUUGUCGGGUAAGUUCCGACCUGCACGAAUGGCAUAACGAUGGCCACACUGUCUCCUCCCGAGACUCAGUGAAGUUGAAAUGUUUGUGAUGAUGCAAUCUACCCGCGGCUAGACGGAAAGACCCCAUGAACCUUUACUGCAGCUUUGCAUUGAACUGUGAACCGAUUUGUGUAGGAUAGGUGGGAGGCAGAGAAGAGGCCACGCCAGUGGUCUUGGAGCCGACCUUGAAAUACCACCCUGAUUUGUUUGCGGUUCUAACCACGGACAGUGAUCCUGUCUUGGGACCGUGCAUGGUAGGCAGUUUGACUGGGGCGGUCUCCUCCUAAAGGGUAACGGAGGAGUACGAAGGUACGCUAGGUACGGUCGGAAAUCGUGCUGAUAGUGCAAUGGCAAAAGCGUGCUUGACUGCGAGAGCAACAACUCGAGCAGAUGCGAAAGCAGGUCAUAGUGAUCCGGUGGCUCUGAAUGGAAGGGCCAUCGCUCAACGGAUAAAAGGUACUCUGGGGAUAACAGGCUGAUACCGCCCAAGAGUUCAUAUCGACGGCGGUGUUUGGCACCUCGAUGUCGGCUCAUCUCAUCCUGGGGCUGUAGUCGGUCCCAAGGGUAUGGCUGUUCGCCAUUUAAAGAGGUACGUGAGCUGGGUUUAAAACGUCGUGAGACAGUUUGGUCCCUAUCUGCCGUGGGCGUUGGAAGAUUGACGGGGGCUGCUCCUAGUACGAGAGGACCGGAGUGGACGCACCUCUGGUGUACCGGUUGUCACGCCAGUGGCAUUGCCGGGUAGCUAAGUGCGGAAGAGAUAACCGCUGAAAGCAUCUAAGCGGGAAACUUGCCUGAAGAUGAGUCUUCCCGGAGGUUGAACCUCCCUCAAGAGUCGUCCGAGACCAGGACGUCGAUAGGUCAGGUGUGUAAGCGCUGUAAGGCGUUGAGCUAACUGAUACUAAUUGCUCGUGAGGCUUGAUC